UGGGGCUCAGUGGUAGAGCGCUUGCCUCGUAGGCAGGAAGUCCUGGGUCCCAUCCCCAGCA
rnacentral:tRNA from 1 species